UACGUAGGGUGCAAGCGUUGUCCGGAAUUAUUGGGCGUAAAGAGCUCGUAGGCGGUUUGUCGCGUCUGCUGUGAAAACUCGGGGCUUAACUCCGGGCCUGCAGUGGGUACGGGCAGACUAGAGUGCGGUAGGGGAGACUGGAAUUCCUGGUGUAGCGGUGAAAUGCACAGAUAUCAGGAGGAACACCGGUGGCGAAGGCGGGUCUCUGGGCCGUAACUGACGCUGAGGAGCGAAAGCGUGGGGAGCGAACAGG
rnacentral:rRNA from 1 species